UACUAUAGCUUGACACUGAACAUUGAGCCUUGAUGUGUAGGAUAGGUGGGAGGCUUGGAAGUGUGGACGCCAGUCUGCAUGGAGCCGACCUUGAAAUACCACCCUUUAAUGUUUGAUGUUCUAACGUGGACCCGUAAUCCGGGUUGCGGACAGUGUCUGGUGGGUAGUUUGACUGGGGCGGUCUCCUCCUAAAGAGUAACGGAGGAGCACGAAGGUUGGCUAAUCCUGGUCGGACAUCAGGAGGUUAGUGCAAUG
rnacentral:rRNA from 1 species